UCUUUGUUUUAUUGGCUCCUCUCUAAUUGCCUGGAAGACCAAGAAGUAGACUGUUGUAUCUCGCUCCAGUGCUGAGGCUGAGCUACGCACUAUAGCCUCCGUGAUUGCAAAGAUUACUUGGACGGUGGCUUUUUCAGGAUUUUUGUGUUCCCACUGCUGCACUGACCCCUUUGCUCUCCGACAGCACGUGGCACUCAACAUUGCCCAUGAUCCUGUGAAGCAUGAGCUUACCAAGAACAUCGGUAUGUGCCCUCGCAGCCUCAACUUGCUUAUUUUCUGACCCCAUCUUGCGUUCUCAGGUGCAAGAGAGGACUGUGGCCCUUCAGUAUGUGCCCUUGGAGCUUCAGCUUGCUUAUUUUCUGACGAAAGCUUAGACACGGCCACAACACAGCCUUCUGUCCAAACUCAGUCCAAGAUCCCCCAUGAGUUUGAAGGGGGGUGGGGGUUAGAACAUGGUUGAGCUGUGUGUGUAGUUACCACAUUGUAUUGCAGGAAAACUCAAUGUCAUAAUAAGGGAGCAAUGUCUUAGAGAUGUUGGACAACUAGAGCAAGAUCUUGUAUUUGGUGAUGCUGGGACAAAAGAAUUAAUCAAUUUUUUCCGGACACAAUUGGGUGUAAGUCGUGAAA